GCAAGUCGAACGAAGCCUUCGGGCUUAGUAUCGUACGGGUGAAUAACUCGUGGGAACAUGCCCUUUGCUACGGAACAGUCCUGGGAAACUGGGUUUAAUACCGUAUACGCCCUUCGGGGGAAAGAAUUUCGGCAAAGGAUCGGCCCGCGUUGGAUUAGGUAGUUGGUGGGGUAAAGGCCUACCAAGCCGACGAUCCAUAGCUGGUUUGAGAGGAUGAUC
rnacentral:rRNA from 1 species